rnacentral:rRNA from 1 species
GACGAACCGUGCGAACGUUGUUCGGAAUCACUGGGCUUAAAGGGUGCGUAGGCGGGUUGUCCAGUCUGGGGUGAAAUCCCACGGCUCAACCGUGGAACUGCCUCAGAUACUGACGACCUCGAGGGAGGUAGGGGCGAGCGGAACUGUGGGUGGAGCGGUGAAAUGCGUUGAUAUCCACAGGAACUCCGGUGGCGAAGGCGGCUCGCUGGACCUCUUCUGACGCUGAGGUGCGAAAGCGUGGGGAGCAAACAGG